GCCAUUGCAGUGCCGCUUUCGCGAGCUUCAAUUUCAUAGAAAAACUUGGGCGCUUUCUGAUUGUGGCUCAAACUCCUAGUGCUUCUUGAAAAUGCCAGUUCCGGAUGGCUUCUCAUGCUCCGCCGCCCUACGUUCGUCAUUGAUUUGCUCAGCAAUGGUGGAUUCUUGAAGAACAAGCAAAUCACUGUACAGUCGUCGAUCGUCAACCCUAUAAAUUUGCGUUUCCAUUCUCGUGCUGCUAGUUUCACUACUAAUUUCGCCGCCAUGGAUCGGUUCUUUGCUGAAGCAACUAUGUUGAUUACUUGCUUGUUCGUCAGUACAUCCCAGAUCUGCGAGUUCGUGGCGACUUCAGGGGUUGGGAUGAGGCCGUAAUCCUUGAGGCAAAAAUCUCCAAAGGAUCUUGACAUGGCGAGGCCAGGAUAAUCUGCAUCUGAACCGCCCGGGAGUCACCCACAUUUGCAACCACCAAAUGCUCUCCCUGAUGAUCAAAAGGGUCAAGAUAAUGAAGAAUGGCUUUUCAUUUUCCUAGAAAAUUUGAGACAGAGGAUGUUAUUUUCCGGGAAAGUUUUGAAGUAAUCACCUGUUUGAUAAUGGACAUGGCUGUUGUUCCACUGCAGAAACAAUCAAUAGAUGAAUCAAAGCCGAGAAGCUUUAGAAACCCCAUUUUGGAGAUGUGAUGGCUGCUGCUGCUUUUUGAUAGCCUUGGAGAGCUUGGAGGGCAGCAUGUCUCGUGCAUGGCGAGCAACCCUAUGACCAAACGGACCAUGGCCAUCAAAAACUCCAGAAAACACCAAACCUUUCUCCCCUGAGAAAUCCUAGGAUCCAUGGAGUCGAACGAUGGCUCCGUCGUCGCCACGACGAAUCUCUGCUCCAUCAUCUCCCCGGCUCCCAUUUUUGAGACACCCUCCACCAGGGGAAUCUCAAAAAGGAAUUUGAGCCACCAGAAGAGAUCAAAUACCCACAAAUUUUCUGGGGAAGAAUCUGUAUUAUUAAAGCAUGGAAAGAUCGGAGGGUUCUCUGAAUCUGAACCCAAAGGGAGCAGAAACAGAGAGGAGAGGAGAGGAGAGGAGAGGAGAGGAGAGAGAGAGAGAAUGAAGUGGAAAAUGUUGUUAAGAUGAGAAUGUGGAAUGAAAUUGAACAAACAGAAUUAUAUUUAGAAAAUCAUGGAUGAUGGUGUGUUGUUGACAUUUGUGUUUAGUGGGUUAGCUCUUCUUCCAA